CAAUCUUGAUGGAAACCAUUACUUCCGCCAAAGGAGAAUUUUCACAACGAAUCAUCAUGGUUGGCGUCGGUGCUGGUGGUUCCUGAAGAGAAUACAUUAUACUGUAACUUCCUUUUUUACUGCACUUUAAGUGUCGGCAGGAGCAUCACGGCAGCAUUGUUCAGCAUACCUCAGAAACAACAAUCAAAACAUGACUUGCCAUGAAAAUAAUGCCAACUUUUCCCUUCAACUGAUAAUUCAAUAUUGAUAGUUAAAAUUUACCUGAAAAGACAAUUCACUUACAUUUUGAUUGCAGUGGGUGUGCCUGCAACAUUGUAGCAGUAAAUGAGUUCUUUAGUGGUCCUUUACAGGUCUCAACUAUCUUCUCAGCAGCAUCAUGCAGGUAACUGCUAAGCACCAAGUCCAAGUCCUGGCCAAAUCUUAGCUUCAUUUCGUAAAGUAGCUACAAAAAGGAGAGUAUUUUUUUAAUCUCAAAAGAAAAGUGAUUAGCCAAUCUCGACCAUAUUUCUUUUCACAGAUAGUUGUGCACUUGCUGAUUAACCACUAAAAGUAGCGUAAUUCUCACAUCUGUUCCUAUCUUUAAUGCUAAGACCAACUGUUGACUAUGGUCAUCACCAAAUGCAAUUGGCUUACCAGACAAGGGACUUUUAGGAAUGGACACUGCUGGAAUAGCUCUGCAGCUGUAGAGAUCUUAUAGAUUGGAGUUCGUGCAUGCAGAGUCCUUUCCAUCCUCCACUUGAUGUUCUCAAAAUUUGGCCUGCUUUUGUGUAGCUCUUCAGUGAUGGCUUUCAAGUGUUCAGCAAUACUUUGAGUAUCCUCCGCUUCCACUGGUUCGGUUGAGAGCUUGGGAGAAGUGAAUAAAAGAAAGAAAUAACAAAGAAAAUAAAAUCAGCCCAUAAAAAAGAACUGCAAUGGGAACAUACUGAAUUAAAUACUCUACAAAAGACAA